rnacentral:rRNA from 1 species
AUUGAACGCUGGCGGCAGGCCUAACACAUGCAAGUCGAACGGUAACAGGAAGAAGCUUGCUUCUUUGCUGACGAGUGGCGGACGGGUGAGUAAUGUCUGGGAAACUGCCUGAUGGAGGGGGAUAACUACUGGAAACGGUAGCUAAUACCGCAUAACGUCGCAAGACCAAAGAGGGGGACCUUCGGGCCUCUUGCCAUCGUAUGUGCCCAGAUGGGAUUAGCUAGGAGGUGGGGUAACGGCUCACCUAGGCGACGAUCCCUAGCUGGUCUGAGAGGAUGACCAGCCACACUGGAACUGAGACACGGUCCAGACUCCUACGGGAGGCAGCAGUGGGGAAUAUUGCACAAUGGGCGCAAGCCUGAUGCAGCCAUGCCGCGUGUAUGAAGAAGGCCUUCGGGUUGUAAAGUACUUUCAGCGGGGAGGAAGGGAGUAAAGUUAAUACCUUUGCUCAUUGACGUUACCCGCAGAAGAAGCACCGGCUAACUCCGUG